rnacentral:rRNA from 1 species
GACGAACGCUGGCGGCGUGCUUAAUACAUGCAAGUCAACUGAACUUUAGGUAGCAAUAUUUAAAGGGAGGUGGCGCACGGGUGAGUAACACGUAGGUAAUCUGCCUUCAGGACUGACAUAACUCCGCGAAAGCGGGACUAAAAUCAGAUGAUGCAGCGGCUCGACAUCGAGACAGUUGUUAAACCUUCGGGGCCGUGAAGAUGAGCCUGCGUCUGAUUAGGUAGUUGGAGGGGUAAGUGGCCCACCAAGCCUGCGAUCAGUAGCUGGUCUGAGAGGAUGAUCAGCCACACUGGAACUGAGACACGGUCCAGACUCCUACGGGAGGCAGCAGUAAGGAAUAUUGCUCAAUGGCCGAAAGGCUGAAGCAGCAACGCCGCGUGGAGGAUGAAAUACUUUAGUAUGUAAACUACCUGUAAGAGGGGAAAAGUAAUACAGUUCUGCUGUAUUGAUUGUACCCUCAGAGUAAGCACCGGCUAACUACGUG